rnacentral:rRNA from 1 species
AUUGAACGCUGGCGGCAGGCCUAACACAUGCAAGUCGAGCGGAUGAAGGGAGCUUUCUCCUGGAUUCAGCGGCGGACGGGUGAGUAAUGCCUAGGAAUCUGCCUGGUAGUGGGGGAUAACGUCCGGAAACGGGCGCUAAUACCGCAUACGUCCUGAGCGAGAAAGUGGGGGAUCUUCGGACCUCACGCUAUCAGAUGAGCCUAGGUCGGAUUAGCUAGUUGGUGGGGUAAAGGCCUACCAAGGCGACGAUGCGUAACUGGUCUGAGAGGAUGAUCAGUCACACUGGAACUGAGACACGGUCCAGACUCCUACGGGAGGGAGCAGUGGGGAAUAUUGGACAAUGGGCGAAAGCCUGAUUCAGCCAUGCCGCGUGUGUGAAGAAGGUCUUCGGAUUGUAAAGCACUUUAAGUUGGGAGGAAGGGCAGUAAGUUAAUACCUUGCUGUUUUGACGUUACCAACAGAAUAAGCACCGGCUAACUUCGUG